rnacentral:misc_RNA from 1 species
UGAUCACGCCAAAUAUUCAAUACCUAGUUCUAAGUUUUUCAACAAGACAUUUUUAUGUAAUAAUCCCAUGCAAUAUCUGGUCAAAUUUCCUCUUAAGUCCAUCUUACAGGCCAUGAAGAAUUUUCACUGGAAUUUUAAAUUAUUCAGCCACCUUCAGAUCUAUCUCCUUCCUCACCAAGAGUCAUUUACCAUUGGGAGAUCCUGACGCUGACCUUGACCUUGCUCUGGGUGAUUUAACAGGUGAUGCUGAUCUAGACU